rnacentral:siRNA from 1 species
UCUCCAUUUCAGAUUGGCCUUUA